CUCAUAAAUAACUACAAAUAACCAAUGUUAGGUAAAUCUGUUUAUGUUUUGUUACGCGUUUAUGGAUUUUCUUUUUUUAAUAUAUAUCGGCCGAUAUAUCGGAAUAUCGGAUUUUUAAAUCACCAAAUAUUUGUAUCGUAUCGGCCUUAAAAAUCCUUUAUCGGUCGGGCUCUAGUGUGUGUGUACAGUAUUGUUUGCAUUUAUCUUUUGAGUUUUAUGUGUCAGCAUAAUCACGAAACAUUGACUGAGUGACUCACUCUCCCAGACAGGGCCCUCAGAAAGGACCUGUCCCAGUUCAUCGGGAACACGAGGACCCGGUUGAGGGGACUCAGGAAGCUCUGGGCUGAAACCCUUACCAUCGCCCUACUGGAUGAGCAGGAGGAGAAGCCUUUGGGCCGCCCUUCAGGACUGAACCCCUUCCCUGGCCAGACCGCCCCGGACCACGGCCAGACCGCCCCGGACCACGGCCAGACCGCCUCGGACCACGGCCAGACCGCCCCGGACCAAGGCCAGACUGCCCCGGACCACGGCCAGACCCCCGAUGAACCUGACAGGGCCCUCAGAAAGGACCUGUCCCAGGUCACGGGAAAAAACAAGGAUCCGGUUGAGGGGACUCAGGAAGCUCUGCGCUGAAACCCGUACCAUCGCCCUGCCGGAUCAGAAAGAGAAGAAGCCUUUGGGCCGCCCUUCAGGCCUGAACCCCUUGGGACACAUUAAGACGGCCACACAGCAGGCUGAGGGGAAGGGCCUCAGGCCUUGGAUGCAUGUCCUGUAAAAAAUAAUAUAUAUAUAUGUAUAUAAUAAUAAUAAUAAUAAUAAUAGCAUACAAAAAAAUCAAAAAAAUAAAAGCCCCAUAAAAUGUAUUACUGCACCAUUGUACAGACAAAGUAUGUACGUCAAACAUCUGAUGGCGCCCAACCGAUCAUCAAUGUGGACUUGGGCGGGACCCAUCCGAUAUUUGAAGUCCAUACUUUGUCUGGGCCCAGGUGAAUUAAAAAAAAAUAUGUACGUCAACGUCUGAUGGCACCCGACCAGGUCGACAUCGAUGUGACAUCACACAGGAGUGAAACCCCAGCUUUGUCUGAGUCCGGGUGAAUUUAAACAAAGUAGUCAAACAUCUGAUGGGACUCAACCAAGUCCUCAUCGGUGUUACAUCACACUGAGGUGUGUAAUGCUUUGUUUAAAUUCACCUGCGCUUGGACCAAGCUGCGGUUUCUCUCCAGUGUGAUGUCACAUCGAUGUGGACUUGGUCGAGUCCCAUCCGAUGUUGGACGUACACACUUUGUUUCAAUUCGCCUGGGCCCAAAUGCCAAUUCAUGUAAAUAAAAUCGAAUAAAAAUAUGUUUGCCAAAAUCUUCA
ensembl:lncRNA